rnacentral:rRNA from 1 species
CCUACGGGAGGCAGCAGUGGGGAAUAUUGCACAAUGGGGGAAACCCUGAUGCAGUGACGCCGCGUGAGCGAUGAAGUAUUUCGGUAUGUAAAGCUCUAUCAGCAGGGAAGAAGAUGACGGUACCUGACUAAGAAGCGCAGGCUAACUACGUGCCAGCAGCCGUGGUAAUACGUAGGGGGCAAGCGUUAUCCGGAUUUACUGGGGGUAAAGGGAGCGUAGACGGCGAUGCAAGGCAGAUGUGAAAGCCCGGGGCUCAACCCCGUGACUGCAUUUGGAACUGUGUGGCUGGAGUGUCGGAGAGGCAGGCGGAAUUCCUAGUGUAGCGGUGAAAUGCGUAGAUAUUAGGAGGAACACAAGUGGCGAAGGCGGCCUGCUGGACGAUGACUGACGUUGAGGCUCGAAAGCGUGGGGAGCAAACAGGAUUAGAUACCCGGGUAGUC